UGGCAGUGUAGUUAGCUGGUUGAUGUUUUAAAAAUCAACAGCUUACCAAAUUGCCAUC
rnacentral:pre_miRNA from 1 species